UAAAAAUUAACCUCCACGAAAAAAGGCAUAAAAGCCUUAUCAAAGAAUUACACUUCUAUGAAUUAGUAAACUAAUUUUUGAUGAUCCGAUAUUCGAUCAACGAACCAAGUUACCCUGGGGAUAACAGCGCAAUCCACCUCAAGAGCUCCUAUCGACAAGUGGGUUUACGACCUCGAUGUUGGAUCAGGGUACCCCAGUGGUGCAGCAGCUACUAAAGGUUCGUUUGUUCAACGAUUAAAACCCU
rnacentral:rRNA from 1 species